UGAAUACGAGACGCUAAGGCGUCGAAGUAGUGUAUGUCAUACUUCCAAGAAAAGCUUGCACUGUCAUAGAUAAAAAACGCCUGUACCAUAACCGACACAGGUGGGUAGGUAGAGUAUACUAAGGGGCGCGAGAUAACUCUCUCUAAGGAACUCGGCAAAAUAACUCCGUAACUUCGGGAGAAGGAGUGCCUUAUUCGUAAGGUUGCAAUAACAAGAUCCAAGCAACUGUUUAUCAAAAACACAGGUCUCCGCUAAGUCGUAAGACGAUGUAUGGGGGCUGACGCCUGCCCAGCGCCAGAAGGUUAAAGAAGUUGGUUAGCAAUUGCGAAGCUGAUAACUGAAGCCCUGGUGAACGGCGGCCGUAACAAUAACGGUCCUAAGGUAGCGAAAUUCCUUGUCGGGUAAGUUCCGACCCGCACGAAAGGCGUAAUGAUUUGGAUACUGUCUCGGAGAGGGGCUCGGUGAAAUAGACUUGUCUGUGAAGAUGCGGACUACCUGCACCAGGACAGAAAGACCCUAUGAAGCUUUACUGUAACUUGAAAUUGAAAUUGGACUUUAUUCGCGCAGUAUAGGUGGGAGGCGUUGAUUAUAAUCUUGUGGGAUUAUUGGAGCCAUCAGUGAGAUACCACUCUUGUAAUGUUAGAUUUCUAACUUUGAAUCAUUAUCUGGUCAAAGAACAGUUUCAGGCGGGCAGUUUGACUGGGGCGGUCGCCUCCUAAACGGUAACGGAGGCGUACAAAGGUUUCCUCUGAACGGUUAGAAAUCGUAUCUAGAGUGUAAAGGCAUAAGGAAGCUUGACUGUGAGACCUACAAGUCGAGCAGGGACGAAAGUCGGUCUUAGUGAUCUGACGGUACUGAGUGGAAAGGCCGUCACUCAACGGAUAAAAGUUACUCUAGGAUAACAGGCUGAUCUCCCCCAAGAGUUCACAUCGACGGGGAGGUUUGGCACCUCGAUGUCGGCUCAUCGCAUCCUGGGGCGGUAGUACGUCCCAAGGGUUGGGCUGUUCGCCCAUGAAAGCGGUACGCGAGCUGGGUUCAGAACGUCGUGAGACAGUUCGGUCCAUAUCCGGUGUAGGCGUUAGAAUAUUGAGAGGAGCCUUCUUUAGUACGAGAGGACCGAGAAGGACAUACCUCUGGUGUACCAGUUAUCGUGCCAACGGUAAACGCUGGGUAGCUAUGUAUGGAGUGGAUAACCGCUGAAAGCAUCUAAGUGGGAAGCCCACCUCAAGAUAAGUAUUCUC
rnacentral:rRNA from 1 species